UACGAAGGGGGCUAGCGUUGCUCGGAAUCAUUGGGCGUAAAGGGUGCGUAGGCGGCGCGGUAAGUCGGAUGUGAAAUCUCGGAGCUUAACUUCGAAACUGCAUUCGAUACUGCCGUGCUUGAGGACUGGAGAGGAGACUGGAAUUUACGGUGUAGCGGUGAAAUGCGUAGAUAUCGUAAGGAAGACCAGUGGCGAAGGCGGGUCUCUGGACAGUUCCUGACGCUGAGGCACGAAGGUCAGGGGAGCAAACGGG
rnacentral:rRNA from 1 species